GAGGAUAUAGCUCAAAUGGCAGAGCGCAUGCUUAGCAUGCACAGGUCCUAGGUUCAAUUCCCAGUACCUCCA
rnacentral:tRNA from 1 species